GCGCCCGUAGCUCAGCUGGAUAGAGCGUUGGCCUCCGGAGCCAAAGGUCAUAGGUUCGAAUCCUAUCGGGCGUGCCA
rnacentral:tRNA from 2 species